rnacentral:rRNA from 1 species
UACAGAGGUCUCAAGCGUUGUUCGGAUUCAUUGGGCGUAAAGGGUGCGUAGGCGGCGCGGUAAGUCGGGUGUGAAAUCUUGGAGCUUAACUCCGAAACUGCAUUCGAUACUGCCGUGCUUGAGGACUGGAGAGGAGACUGGAAUUUACGGUGUAGCGGUGAAAUGCGUAGAUAUCGUAAGGAAGACCAGUGGCGAAGGCGGCGCUCUGGGCCGGAACUGACGCUGAGGAGCGAAAGCGUGGGUAGCAAACAGG